CACCCCUAAUUGGUUUCGAUUUUCUCUCUUCUUAGGUAUUUUCUAACUUUCAAGUGCUGCAAUUCUGAGUUUCUGGCUCUUGAAUCUUCAAUAGGUCAAGAAAGGGAUGAAGG